rnacentral:rRNA from 1 species
AUUGAACGCUGGCGGAAUGCUUUACACAUGCAAGUCGAACGAUGAGACCUAGCUUGCUAGGUUGAUUAGUGGCGAACGGGUGAGUAAUGUAUCGGAACGUAUCCAAUAUUGGGGGAUAACUAACCGAAAGGUUAGCUAAUACCGCGUACGCCCUACGGGGGAAAGCAGGGGAUCUUCGGACCUUGCGUUAAUGGAGCGGACGAUAUCUGAUCAGCUAGUUGGUGGGGUAAACGCCUACCAAGGCGACGAUCCGGAGCGGGUCUGAGAGGAUGAUCCGCCACACUGGAACUGAGACACGGUCCAGACUCCUACGGGAGGCAGCAGUGGGGAAUUUUGGACAAUGGGGGCAACCCUGAUCCAGCCAUGCCGCGUGGGUGAAGAAGGCCUUCGGGUUGUAAAGCCCUUUCGGCCGGGAAGAAAUCCCUAUCGUGAAUAGCGGUGGGGGAUGACGGUACCGGAAGAAAAAGCACCGGCUAACUACGUGCCAGCCGCCGCGGUAAGAC